UUUUUCUUCAAAGGGGUCCGCUAAGAGAGUGCUGAAAAGGGCAUUCGAGACGAGCUUGAAGGUCGUGAAGGAGUCUUUGGAGGAAUAUUCAAGUCCAAAUUUUAGAGGAGACCAUAACGAAACGGAGGCCAUUCAAAGGCUCAAUUUGCACACUGCAAUGACAAAUGCUAAGCAUUUGUCAUGGCUGGUUGAGAGGAUGAUUGAAUUGAG
rnacentral:misc_RNA from 1 species